AUGCGAGGAAUGACGCGGAAAGUCCUGAAGAAUAAAGUAAUGGCAUUUCUUAUUUUUAUUAGAUCAAUCUGGGGCGUACGAGCUCUCAAACCCAGCUUAGGAUCAUCUUCUCUGAAAAGGACUGAGAGGGAACAGGAAAGGCUGGAGCUCAGGAAAACGAGGCAGGUCUGGAAGAAAGAAAGAAAUGGUCCAUACGAGAUGUUUUUGGCUGCUCCUUCUGUGCUGUCUUUUCCUCUGCGAGCAGCCGACCACGUGGCUUCAUUCACUGAAACAGCCCAUUGCAACAAUCAGACAAAGACUUUGACUUUGCCCCCGGCUCCCGUGGAUGCCGACCCUCCGAAGGCUCCAGUCACCUCUAAUUAACACAUCUGUGGAAAUCAUGCACCAGUUGGCAUGACAUUUUUGCCCUGUAAAGACUUGAAGGAGUGAAGCUGAAGAGAUGAAUCCCUGUUUUUCCCUACUGACAUCUUAAUAUCUCAUCCCAGUGCAUGGGCAGAGCAGGUGAGGUGGGUGCUUGUGCCCAGGACUGGGGUCAGCAGCCUAGGUGGGUGCUUGUGCCCAGGACUGGGGUCAAUAGCCUUUAGAUGGCCAUGUAGAUGGCCAUGGCCUCCUGGGCGCAUGUGGCCAUUGGCCCAUCUGACCCACUCUGGUUCAGGCUGGAGGAAAGGCCCCAGAAGCAGCGAUUAUGGGAAUAAAAGGAAAUUUAUACAAGCCA
rnacentral:lncRNA from 1 species